GCCGGAGUGGUGGAAUUGGCAGACGCGACAGACUCAAAAUCUGUUGGUAGCAAUACCGUGUGGGUUCAAGUCCCACCUUCGGUACCA
rnacentral:tRNA from 1 species